GGUGCGGACGGACGAUAGUCUUCAGCGACCGUGCCAUUUGAAAACCCUUUGGGUCGGUGGGACUUUCGUCCGUUUGUAAC
rfam:Culex pipiens quinquefasciatus supercont3.16 genomic scaffold, whole genome shotgun sequence.